ensembl:lncRNA
UGGGGUUCUAUGGGGUUCUAUUGGGUGGUUAUGGGGUUCUAUGGGCUUUUUAUGGGGUUCUAUGGGGUUCUAUGGAGUCACUGUGGGAUUUUAUGGGAUCUAUGGGGUUCUGUGGGGUUCCAUGGGGUUGUAUGGGGAUCUAUGGGGUUCUAUGGGGUUUUUAUAGGGGAUAUAUGGGGUUCUUUGGGGUUAUAUGGGGUUCUAUGGGAAUCCAUGGGGUUCUAUGGGCUUCUAUGGGGUUCUUUGAGGUUCUAUGGGGUUCUAUAGGGUUCUAUGGGAUUCUAUAGGGUUCUAUGGGGUCACUGUGGUGAUCUAUGGGAUUCUAUGGGGUCACGGUGGAAUUUUAUGGGGUCAGGGGGUUCUAUGGGGUUCUAUGGUGUUCCAUGGGGUUUUAUGGGGAUCUAUGGGGUUUUAUGGGGUUCUAUGGGGUUCUAUGGGGUGGUUAUGGGGUUCUGUGGGGUUCUAUGGGCUUCUAUGGGGUUUUAUGGGGUUUUUGUGGAUCUAUGGGGUUCUAUGGGGUUUUUAUAGGGGAUAUGUGGGAUUCUAUGGGAUUCUAUGGGGUCACUGUGGGACUUUAUGGGGUCAGGAGGUUCUAUGGGCUUCUAUGGGGUUCUAUGGGGAAUCUAUGGGGUUCUAUGGGGUUUCUAUGGGGUCUCUGUGGGGUUCUAUGGGGUUUUGGGGUCUCUAUGGGGUCUCUAUGGGGUCUCUAUGGGGUUCUAUGGGGUCACUAUGGGAUUCUAUGGGGUCACCGUGGGAUUUUAUGGGGUCAGGGUUUCUAUGGGGUUCUAUGGGGUCUUAUGGGGUUCUAUGGGGUCACUGUGGUGAUCUAUGGGAUUCUAUGGGGUCACUGUGGGAUUUUAUGGGUCAGGGGGUUCUAUGGGGUUCUAUGGGGAUCUAUGGGGUUUUUUGGGGAUCUAUGGGUUUCUAGGGGGUCACAAUGGAAUCCUAUGGGGUUUUAUGCGGUUCUAUGCGAUUCUAUGGGGUCACUGUGGGAUUUUAUGGGGUCAGGGGAUUCCAUGGGGUUCUAUGGGGUUCUAUGGGAUCUAUGGGGUGUCUAUGGUGUUUCUAUGGGAUUCUAUGGGGUUCGAUGGGGUUCUUUGAGGUUCUAUGGGGUUCUAUAGGGUUCUAUGGGUUUCUAUAGGGUUCUAUGGGGUCACUGUGGGACUUUAUGGGGUCAGGAGGUUCUAUGGGGUUCUAUGGGGUUCUAUGCGGUCACUAUGGGAUUCUAUGGGGAUCUAUGGGGUUCUAUGGGAUUCUAUAUGGUUCUAUGGGGGAUCUAUGGGGUUUUAUGGGGUUCUUUGGGAUUCUAUGGGGUUCUAUGGGCUUUAUGGGGUUUUUAUGGGGUUCUAUGGGGUUCUAUGGGGUCACUGUGGGAUUUUAUGGGAUCUAUGGGGUUCUAUGGGACUCUAUGGGGUUCUGUGGGUUUCUAUGGGUUUCUAUGGGGAUCUAUGGGAUCUAUGGGGUUCUAUGGGCUCACUGUAGGAUUUCAUGGGGUCAGGGCGUUCUAUGGGGUUCUCUGUAGUUCCUAUAGGGAUCAAGGGGUUCUUUAUGGGAUCUUUGGGGUUUCUAUGGGGUUUUUUAUGGGCUGUGUCCCCACAGCGCCCCCUGAUGGCGCCUAUGAAGAAGUGACGCCGCCGGGAGGCAGCGCUGCUCCGCCACUGGGUGAGGAGCCGCCCCACAGCUGCCCCAUGGCUGCCCCAUAGCUGCCCCAUAGCUGC